CUAAUACAUGCAAGUCGAACGAACUCUGGUAUUGAUUGGUGCUUGCAUCAUGAUUUACAUUUGAGUGAGUGGCGAACUGGUGAGUAACACGUGGGAAACCUGCCCAGAAGCGGGGGAUAACACCUGGAAACAGAUGCUAAUACCGCAUAACAACUUGGACCGCAUGGUCCGAGUUUGAAAGAUGGCUUCGGCUAUCACUUUUGGAUGGUCCCGCGGCGUAUUAGCUAGAUGGUGGGGUAACGGCUCACCAUGGCAAUGAUACGUAGCCGACCUGAGAGGGUAAUCGGCCACAUUGGGACUGAGACACGGCCCAAACUCCUACGGGAGGCAGCAGUAGGGAAUCUUCCACAAUGGACGAAAGUCUGAUGGAGCAACGCCGCGUGAGUGAAGAAGGGUUUCGGCUCGUAAAACUCUGUUGUUAAAGAAGAACAUAUCUGAGAGUAACUGUUCAGGUAUUGACGGUAUUUAACCAGAAAGCCACGGCUAACUACGUGCCAGCAGCCGCGGUAAUACGUAGGUGGCAAGCGUUGUCCGGAUUUAUUGGGCGUAAAGCGAGCGCAGGCGGUUUUUUAAGUCUGAUGUGAAAGCCUUCGGCUCAACCGAAGAAGUGCAUCGGAAACUGGGAAACUUGAGUGCAGAAGAGGACAGUGGAACUCCAUGUGUAGCGGUGAAAUGCGUAGAUAUAUGGAAGAACACCAGUGGCGAAGGCGGCUGUCUGGUCUGUAACUGACGCUGAGGCUCGAAAGUAUGGGUAGCAAACAGGAUUAGAUACCCUGGUAGUCCAUACCGUAAACGAUGAAUGCUAAGUGUUGGAGGGUUUCCGCCCUUCAGUGCUGCAGCUAACGCAUUAAGCAUUCCGCCUGGGGAGUACGGCCGCAAGGCUGAAACUCAAAGGAAUUGACGGGGGCCCGCACAAGCGGUGGAGCAUGUGGUUUAAUUCGAAGCUACGCGAAGAACCUUACCAGGUCUUGACAUACUAUGCAAAUCUAAGAGAUUAGACGUUCCCUUCGGGGACAUGGAUACAGGUGGUGCAUGGUUGUCGUCAGCUCGUGUCGUGAGAUGUUGGGUUAAGUCCCGCAACGAGCGCAACCCUUAUUAUCAGUUGCCAGCAUUAAGUUGGGCACUCUGGUGAGACUGCCGGUGACAAACCGGAGGAAGGUGGGGAUGACGUCAAAUCAUCAUGCCCCUUAUGACCUGGGCUACACACGUGCUACAAUGGAUGGUACAACGAGUUGCGAACUCGCGAGAGUAAGCUAAUCUCUUAAAGCCAUUCUCAGUUCGGAUUGUAGGCUGCAACUCGCCUACAUGAAGUCGGAAUCGCUAGUAAUCGCGGAUCAGCAUGCCGCGGUGAAUACGUUCCCGGGCCUUGUACACACCGCCCGUCACACCAUGAGAGUUUGUAACACCCAAAGUCGGUGGGGUAACCUUUUAGGAACCAGCCGCCUAAGGUGGGACAGAUGAUUAGGGUGAAGUCGUAACAA
rnacentral:rRNA from 2 species